rnacentral:rRNA from 1 species
AAUCAUCUAUUUGAUGGUAAAAACUACAUGGAUAACCGUAGUAAUUCUAGAGCUAAUACAUGCCAAAAACCCCGACUGUUUGGAAGGGGAGUAUUUAUUAGAUUCAAAAAUCAAGGCAGGGGGCAACUCCUGGAAAAUUGGUGAUUCAUGAUAACUUUUCGGACCACAUGGCCUAGUGCUGGUGGCGCAUCAUUCGAAUUUCUGCCCUAUCAACUUUCGAAGGUAGUAUAGAGGACUACCUUGGUAAUAACGGGUAACGGGGUUUUAAGGAACGACUCCGGAGAGUUUGCCUUAAAAAUGGCAAACACU